rnacentral:rRNA from 1 species
AUUGAACGCUGGCGGCAGGCCUAACACAUGCAAGUCGAGCGGAUGAAGGGAGCUUGCUCCUGGAUUCAGCGGCGGACGGGUGAGUAAUGCCUAGGAAUCUGCCUGGUAGUGGGGGAUAACGUCCGGAAACGGGCGCUAAUACCGCAUACGUCCUGAGGGAGAAAGUGGGGGAUCUUCGGACCUCACGCUAUCAGAUGAGCCUAGGUCGGAUUAGCUAGUUGGUGGGGUAAAGGCCUACCAAGGCGACGAUCCGUAACUGGUCUGAGAGGAUGGUCAGUCACACUGGAACUGAGACACGGUCCAGACUCCUACGGGAGGCAGCAGUGGGGAAUAUUGGACAAUGGGCGAAAGCCUGAUCCAGCCAUGCCGCGUGUGUGAAGAAGGUAUUCGGAUUGUAAAGCACUUUAAGUUGGGAGGAAGGGCAGUAAGUUAAUACCUUGCUGUUUUGACGUUACCAACAGAAUAAGCACCGGCUAACUUCGUG